rnacentral:rRNA from 1 species
AAGUCGAACGGUGAAGGCGGAGCUUGCUCUGCUGGAUCAGUGGCGAACGGUGAGUAACACGUGAGCAAUCUGCCCCUGACUCUGGGAUAAGCGCUGGAAACGGCGUCUAAUACUGGAUACGAGCUGCGAAGGCAUCUUCAGCAGCUGGAAAGAACUUCGGUCAGGGAUGAGCUCGCGGCCUAUCAGCUUGUUGGUGAGGUAAUGGCUCACCAAGGCGUCGACGGGUAGCCGGCCUGAGAGGGUGACCGGCCACACUGGGACUGAGACACGGCCCAGACUCCUACGGGAGGCAGCAGUGGGGAAUAUUGCACAAUGGGCGCAAGCCUGAUGCAGCAACGCCGCGUGAGGGACGACGGCCUUCGGGUUGUAAACCUCUUUUAGCAGGGAAGAAGCGAAAGUGACGGUACCUGCAGAAAAAGCGCCGGCUAACUACGUGCCAGCAGCCGCGGUAAUACGUAGGGCGCAAGCGUUAUCCGGAAUUAUUGGGCG